CUGUACCACGCGUGCAUUCCGAUCCUCAGCGCGAUGGCCGCACCUGCCUGACGGCUGCUCGCGAGGUUUGUUAGCC
rnacentral:sRNA from 1 species